GUGAAGAACGCAGCGAAAUGCGAUAAGUAGUGUGAAUUGCAGAAUUCAGUGAAUCAUCGAAUCUUUGAACGCACAUUGCGCCCCUUGGUAUUCCAUGGGGCAUGCCUGUUCGAGCGUCAUUUGUACCUUCAAGCUCUGCUUGGUGUUGGGUGUUUGUCUCGCCUCUGCGUGUAGACUCGCCUCAAAAUAAUUGGCAGCCGGCGUAUUGAUUUCGGAGCGCAGUACAUCUCGCGCUUUGCACUCAUAACGACGACGUCCAAAAGUACAUUUUUACACUCUUGACCUCGGAUCAGGUAGGGAUACCCGCUGAACUUAAGCAUAUCAAUAAGCGGAGGA
rnacentral:misc_RNA from 1 species